GCAGACAGAGCGGCGGAUUCGGAGCCCAGCGACCCCGUGCUGCUGGUGCGCGCUGCGGGCGGCCGGGGUUGUCUGAAAUGGAACAGAAAUGAGAAUGAAGGCACCUGAGCUUCAGAAGUGCUCUUCCAGUGCCCACAGUUCAGCAGCUUACACAGUCGGACGCAUGCUCUCGUGCCUCUGCUGAAAUGAAGGCGACGGAGUAACGGCCUCGAGAGCUGACUGGUUUACACGUGCAGCAAUUUCCUGCAACAAGUAAAUGAAAACAUUUUCCUCAACAUGCAGUGCCAGCUCUUAGCUUUAGAUGCAACUGACAGAAGUUCUAAAUUGUCCCCUUUCAGUAACGUAUUUGUAGCAUCUUCAAACUUGUCACAUUUUGUGCUGUUCACUUUCUACACCUGAGUGAAUGCACUUGCUUCAUAAUGCUGCAAUCUGUCUGAUAAAAUAAGCAAACAGCUACAGUAAGAAAAAUAAAGAUAUCACUUAAAAAAAAAAACGUACCUCUCGACUACUAACAAAACAUAAAGACUCAAAA